ACUAUUUACUUGUUAAUGUAUAUAUUUGCUGUAUUCUAUGUGUAUGUUGAUUUGCCAUUUUGACUACCUCUUUGUUGUGGGAGGAGUUAUAGACAUGUAAUUGUACUGAGCAUGUUCAGGCUCAAGACUCCAUUUUGUUGUCAGUAUGUGUUUGAUCUUCAAUGAAAGCAGGUGUAUGUGUCCAGACCUCAGUGGAGGUGGAUGCAUGUUGCUGUUUACAGACUUCAAUAGAUGCAUGUAUGCUUUAUGGACUUCAAUGCUGCUCUUGUCACCUGGACCAUAUUCAUUUUGCCAUCUUAAUAGGACUUAGCAGAAUUUGUGCUUCAAGAGCCCAGGGUCACUUCCACACCAUGCUGAAAAGUCAGAGGACUUUGUGGAUCCAUGGCUGACUUUUAAAGUGGACAAACAUCAAAAGCAGGAAUUCACCGGUGGACACAAGCACACCAAUGAGAAAAAGAAAAAAGCAGCGCCCUCCACUGCCUCUCCCUGGUGCUUUCUUUUGACUAAACAGAGGGGAAAAAUCCACACUUUGUCUAUAGCAAUGAGACAUAA
rnacentral:lncRNA from 1 species